CUUCAGGUGGUUGCUGUUAGCUGUUCAUGCUGGAUACCGAGGGCACUUAGAAGCUGGAAGGUUUGGGAAUCCCAAAGUGGAGCUGCUGGUUUUGGGUAUCCAUCUUUGCUGGAAGAGAAGAAAAUGGUUUCAGGAUAGCUGGGUGCUUGAUUAUACUGAGAGGAAAACCUGGACAGUCAGAACAAGAAAAAGACGGAGGUCCAUAAUGAACAACAAAAGAACAAAGGAACAGAAGGAAGCUGUUGAGUAGCUGGUUGCAGAGGGAAUGCAGUUGGAUUUUCUUUUCUUCACUAAACAGGUAGCUGAAUUCUGCUGUGUCCUUCCCUGACCCUCCUUUGGUUUCAGCUGUCACCAGCUGUCCCUUGCUCCUGCCUUCUGAG